UUAAAAAGCUCGUAGUUGGAUUUCUGGGAAGGCGCCAAUGCUAGCUUCUUGCUUUCGCAACGGCACCUUUCCAUCCUUCUGUUAGCGCCUCUUGGCAUUCAUUUGCUGGUGGCGGGCUCAGAUAUUUUACCUUGAGAAAAUUAGAGUGUUUCAGGCAGGCUACGCCGGAAUACAUUAGCAUGGAAUAAUGGAAUAGGACUGAGGUCUCUUUGUUGGUUUGAGGGACUCCAGUAAUGAUUAAUAGGGACAGUUGGGGGCAUUAGUAUUUAUUAGUCAGAGGUGGAAUUCUAUGAUUUGAUAAAGACUAACUUAUGCGAAAGCAUUUGCCAAGGAUGUUUUCAUUAAUCAAGAACGAAAGUUAGGGGAUCAAAGACGAUCGAUACCGUCCUAGUCUUAACCAUAAACUAUGCCGACUCGGGAUUGGGAGUGAGAACUAUCCGCUCUCAGCACCGUACGAGAAAUCAAAGUCUUUGGGUUCUGGGGGGG
rnacentral:rRNA from 1 species